UCGGCCUGACAGCGAUGAUUCAUUCACAGGUAAUCUUAAGGAGAACGGGCACUUUCAUAAAAUCUUCACUGAAAAAUCUACACUUGUUUAUCUGCAUAUUAUUUGAAGCCAUGAUCAGAAGACAGCGAUGAUUCAUUCACAGGUAAUGUACGUAUAUUAUUUUAGCAUUAACUUUUGUUGCAAUGUCCAUGUUUAGAUAAAAACCGAGCACCUAACAUGUGCUUAAAAGUCACCCAUUGAUAUGAUUAUCACAAAGGUAUUUAAACUAUCGCAUGAUUACCCAAAACGAAACAACCCCACCUGGCACCCUGUGCAACCAAGCUCAAGAAAAAGGCAUGGUGUACUUUUAGAUGUGGUGGUUUGGUAAGGGUGGCUCCGGGUUUGGUUGGGUUCAUUCAAGUUCUCACCAACUGCUCAUGUGUGUUGUUUCCACAUGAGCCAUUACCAUCUACCCUCUGGUUGCCCCCCCUCCUAAAGUGCACUUGUCCCUUUUCUUCUUCUAGCUCAACCCAUUACCCACCCCACUCCUUUUUUUGCACGAUUUAUUCGCUCUCUCUGUCUUUUCGCAUUUAGCACAUUCUCAUUCCAGCUUUUGCAUCUUGGUGCACGAAGACGAGUUUUUCUCUUCUCUCGAUUCAAACUUGGAUGACAACAGGAAACAAAUCCACUUACUACUUGAACUAACACAUAAAGGUUAAUCUCAUCUCUUUAUAACACCAGGCCCACAUUUUCCAUCAUCAAACAUUUUGUUUCUCGAUUGAUUUCAUUUUACCUUUGCAAUGAAUGAUCCCGUUUUUGGGAACGCAAAAUGCCCUAUUUUACAUCCAGACUGAACAGCUAAGGUAAGCAUAAAGAUCUAAGGACCUGAGGAUUCUCACCUUUAAUCGCGACACCAAACACAUACCAGUGACAAGGUCUUCAUCGCAUGCAAAAUUCGGAAGAUGCACAAUUACAUUGAUAGAACUCAAAAUUAGAGGUGUUCAUGAUAUAGUUGGAUUUGAUUUAAGUGUAUAAUUAUAUUCGAUCCGACUUUCGAUAUUUACAUAUUAUAAAUCUGAUCCAUUUAGUUUUUUUAGAA